AGUUCAGCGUGUGCACUUCCGAUUAUCUUGCUGAAGAAAACGUGUAAGUAUCAUAAAUGUUUGUUUGCCACAGAGUUUAUUUUCUGCAAUAAUCCAAAACCCAAUGGAAAAUCCCGUAGGCUUUUUGUCCAGGGAACCUGUGUGAUUCUAACUUCCGGGUUGGCCUA